rnacentral:rRNA from 1 species
GACGAACGCUGGCGGCGUGCCUAACACAUGCAAGUCGAACGGGGUGAUUUCUUCGGAGAUCACUUAGUGGCGAACGGGUGAGUAACGCGUGAGAAACCUGCCUUUCAGUGGGGGACAACGGUUGGAAACGACUGCUAAUACCGCAUAAUGUUAUUUGGGGGCAUCCCCGAACAACCAAAGAUUUAUUGCUGAAAGAUGGUCUCGCGUCUGAUUAGCUAGAUGGCGGGGUAACGGCCCACCAUGGCGACGAUCAGUAGCCGGUCUGAGAGGAUGAACGGCCACAUUGGGACUGAGAUACGGCCCAGACUCCUACGGGAGGCAGCAGUGGGGAAUAUUGGGCAAUGGGGGAAACCCUGACCCAGCAACGCCGCGUGAAGGAAGAAGGCCUUCGGGUUGUAAACUUCUUUUAGUCAGGGACGAAGAACGUGACGGUACCUGCAGAAAAAAGACAACGGCUAACUACGUGCCAGCAGCCGCGGU